GCUCGCUUGGCUCAGUUGGUUAGAGCGCAGGUCUCAUACAUGUCGUAUGACGAGCGUAGACUCGGUAAUCCUGAGGUCGCAAGUUCGAACCUUGCAGCGAGCA